rnacentral:rRNA from 1 species
UACGUAGGGUGCAAGCGUUGUCCGGAAUUAUUGGGCGUAAAGAGCUCGUAGGCGGUUCGUCGCGUCGGCUGUGAAAACCUGAGGCUCAACCUCAGGCCUGCAGUCGAUACGGGCGGACUUGAGUACUGCAGGGGAGACUGGAAUUCCUGGUGUAGCGGUGAAAUGCGCAGAUAUCAGGAGGAACACCAGUGGCGAAGGCGGCCCGCUGGGCAGUGGCUGACGCUGAGGCGCGACAGCGUGGGGAGCAAACAGG